rnacentral:lncRNA from 1 species
CCCCCCCCCCAACACACACACUCCCUUUUUAUUGGUAUUAUUUUUCCUAUGCCUUCCAUGUGAAAGUCUGAGAUUCAUGCAUCGAAUGUAUUUAAUCUUUCACUCCAAUAUAUUUUAUGAAGGAUGUGUAUGAUUUUGCCCUGGCACUGAUCUUAUCUCAUUCCUUGCAGCUGAACUUUUUGUCAAUGGAGAGAUAGUUCAGAGAUCACCUGAACGACAGAGGAGAGUAGAGCCUGUCCCUCAGCGUAACGACAGAAUAAGACCCAAUAGGUACAACAGGCGCAGAGAUAACAUAUGAAGAGAUAGUUCAGAGAUCACCUGAACGACAGAGGAGAGUAGAGCCUGUCCCUCAGCGUUACGACAGAAUAAGACCCAAUAGGUAUAACAGGCGCAGAGAUAACAUGCGAUGAAUUAUAUUCAAUGUAAGGAAGGUUCAGGUUGGAGUUGUAAGCACGGUUGUGUGGUGUUAGAGAAAACUUGAAUACCUAUCUUUCCGCAUUUGGACAUGUCUUCAAUCAAGCUAUGCUUCUAUAUUUGCUCUAUUUCACAUUUCAAACCAGUAGUCCUUCAUCUUCUCAGUUACUAAAACUUGAAUUUGUCUGAUGUAUAUCUACUAUGAGUUAACUUUGAGAAUCUAGUAUGAGUGGGUCUUUGCUAAUGCCAUUUGUUGAGGAAAACCUUUGCAUGGAAAGCUUUGCAUUUUGUUGCUUGAACAUAACCUGGUAUAACCACCAAUCCCUAUGCUCAUUUGUCA